rnacentral:misc_RNA from 1 species
ACAAACUUGGUCAUUUAGAGGAAGUAAAAGUCGUAACAAGGUUUCCGUAGGUGAACCUGCGGAAGGAUCAUUAUUGAAUAACUUGCCUUGAUGGGUUGUUGCUGGCCUCUCGGGGCAUGUGCACGCCUGUCUUGACUCUAUUCAUCCACCUGUGCACUUAUUGUAGUUCUGUACACGCUGAGGGUCAAGAAAGCUAAGCAACUGUUCGGUUGAAACACACUGGAUAUGAGGAUUGCCUUCUGGGCUUUCUUCUACCAAGCUUCGUGGAAUUGUACUCUCUCGAGAAUAGGACUAUGUCUUUUAUCAUAAACCAUAUAGUAUGUUGCCAGAAUGUAAUCAAUGGGUCUUUGUGCCUAUAAAACUUUAUACAACUUUCAGCAACGGAUCUCUUGGCUCUCGCAUCGAUGAAGAACGCAGC